CGGACGGGUGAGUAACGCGUGAGGAACCUGCCUCAAAGAGGGGGACAACAGUUGGAAACGACUGCUAAUACCGCAUAAGCCCACGGCUCGGCAUCGAGCAGAGGGAAAAGGAGUGAUCCGCUUUGAGAUGGCCUCGCGUCCGAUUAGCUAGUUGGUGAGGUAACGGCCCACCAAGGCGACGAUCGGUAGCCGGACUGAGAGGUUGAACGGCCACAUUGGGACUGAGACACGGCCCAG
rnacentral:rRNA from 1 species